rnacentral:rRNA from 1 species
AUUGAACGCUGGCGGCAGGCCUAACACAUGCAAGUCGAGCGGCAGCGGGAAAGUAGCUUGCUACUUUUGCCGGCGAGCGGCGGACGGGUGAGUAAUGCCUGGGGAUCUGCCCAGUCGAGGGGGAUAACUACUGGAAACGGUAGCUAAUACCGCAUACGCCCUACGGGGGAAAGCAGGGGACCUUCGGGCCUUGCGCGAUUGGAUGAACCCGGGUGGGAUUAGCUAGUUGGUGAGGUAAUGGCUCACCAAGGCGACGAUCCCUAGCUGGUCUGAGAGGAUGAUCAGCCACACUGGAACUGAGACACGGUCCAGACUCCUACGGGAGGCAGCAGUGGGGAAUAUUGCACAAUGGGGGAAACCCUGAUGCAGCCAUGCCGCGUGUGUGAAGAAGGCCUUCGGGUUGUAAAGCACUCUCAGCGAGGAGGAAAGGUUGGUAGCUAAUAACUGCCAGCUGUGACGUUACUCGCAGAAGAAGCACCGGCUAACUCCGUGCCAGCCGCCGCAGUAAUAC